UCAUUACUCCUCUCCUCCUUUCUCUGCUUCUUCAAACUGCCUCUAUAUCAUUACUCCUCUCCUCCUUCCUCUGCUUCUUCAGACUGCCUCUAUCAUUACUCCUCCUUCCUCUGCUUCUUCAGACUGCCUCUGCUUCUUCAGACUGCCUCUAUCAUUACUCCUCC
rnacentral:lncRNA from 1 species